rnacentral:rRNA from 1 species
UACGGAGGGGGCUAGCGUUGUUCGGAAUUACUGGGCGUAAAGCGCGCGUAGGCGGACCUGCAAGUCGGGGGUGAAAGCCCGAGGCUCAACCUCGGAACUGCCUUCGAUACUGCGGGUCUCGAGUCCGGGAGAGGUGAGUGGAAUUCCUAGUGUAGAGGUGAAAUUCGUAGAUAUUCGGAAGAACACCAGUGGCGAAGGCGGCUCACUGGCCCGGUACUGACGCUGAUAUACGAAAGCGUGGGGAGCAAACAGG